rnacentral:piRNA from 1 species
UCAUCACUUCAGAAGUAUCAAGUUGGAUGAGC